UACGUAGGGUGCAAGCGUUACUCGGAAUUACUGGGCGUAAAGCGUGCGUAGGCGGUUCGGUAAGUCUGAUGUGAAAGCCCUGGGCUCAACCUGGGAACUGCAUUGGAUACUGGCGAUCUGGAGUGCGGUAGAGGGUGGCGGAAUUCCCGGUGUAGCAGUGAAAUGCGUAGAUAUCGGGAGGAACAUCCGUGGCGAAGGCGGCCAACUGGACCAGCACUGACACUGAGGCACGAAAGCGUGGGGAGCAAACAGG
rnacentral:rRNA from 1 species